UUAAACCCAAAACCCCUCCUCCCAUAAUAUAUAUAUAUAUAUAUAGAGAGAGAGAGAGAGAGAUGUAGGUAUAUAUGUAUAAAUACUGCAGAAACUUCCUUAUAAGGCUCAGAUCAUUAUUAUAACCACAGCAAAGGAGACAUCGCAUCCAUUGUGGCAGCAGACCUCAGUUGCACAUAAAAUAUAGUACCUUCCGGGUCACCCCGCCACGCUAUGGGCCUUGCUCCUUUGCCCCAUGAACUCUAGACAACUUAACCAUCACAGCCUCUCAUCCAUAACAGCAACAAUAACAGCAGCCAAAACCCUUUUCAAGGAUUCAUAUAUGAUGAUGAGGAGGAGGAGGAAAAAGCAGCAGCAGCAAAAGGGUCAAAUCUUUAACCCUAAACCUUUCUUACCAAUAUAUAUACACACACACACACAUAGAGAGAGAGAGAUGGUAUGUGUAUCUGUAUACAUACUGCAGUAACUUCCGAUUAUAAGGAUCAGAUCCGUAUAAUCAGGGCAAAGUAAACAAUGCAUCCGCCAUGGCUGCAGACCUCAAUUGCACUACAACUAUAGUGUCUUCUGGGUCGCCCCGCCAAGAUACAGACCCAGCUCCUUUACCCCAUGAAUUCUAGACACCUCAAUCAUCGCACCCUAUCAUCCAUAAAAUCAACAACAAUAUCAUCAUCAACAUCAUCAUCAACAACAGCAAAAACCCAUAUCACGGAUUUCGACGCGGAAAAAGAAGAAGAAGAAGAAGUAGCAACAAAAGGGUCAAAAUCUUAUGCCCUUCAUUCCUUUAUGUAUGUUAUAUAUAUGUAUGUAUGUAUGUGUCUGUAUACAUACUGCAAAAUCGUUUCAAUUUUCAUCAAAAGUUUCAAUGCAACAGCUUUACCAAACGACCCUUAAGAAAAAUGGUGGUUUAUUGUUUCACCCUUUUUUUAGCUGGAAAAUGGAAAUCAACGGCGAAACAGAGAGAGGGCAACCACCAUUAAAAGACUCCCCAAUAUCUCUCUGUUUGCCUCAUUUCAAGGAUUCAUAUAUAUAUAUAUAUAUAUAGAGAGAGAGAGAGAGAGAGAGAUGUAUGUGUAAGUGUAUGUGUAUACAUACUGCAGUUAACUUCCCGAUUAUAAGGCUCAGAUCAGUAUAAUCAGAGCAAAGGAGACAAUGCAUCCGCCAUGGCUGCAUACCUCGGUUGCACUACAAACAGUACCUUCCAGGUCGCCCCGCCAAGAUACGAACCCAGCUCCCUUGCCCCAUGAACUCUAGACAGCUUAAUCAUCACAGCCUCUCAUCCAUAACACCAAACACAUCAACACCACCAAUAAUAAUAACAACAACUACAAUUUCAAUGCCAGCAAAACUCUUUCGAAGGAUGAUGAUGACAAUGAAGAAACAGCAAAAGGUUUAGGGUUUGGCCUCAGCUGCACUAAAGACCAGCUCAGACCUCAUCUGCCAAGGCUGCAGACCUCAGCUGCUCUACAAACAGUACCUUCCCGGUCCCCCCACCAAGAUACAGAGCCAGCUCCCCUUUGCCCCAUGAACUCUAGACACCUUAUAGCCUGUUUGGUCAAACUUAUAAAAUCAGCUUAUUUUUAGAAGUGCUUAUUUCAAUUUUCAAAAGUGUUGUUCUAAAAAAGCAGUUUUGGUGACAAGCAAUUUGUAUUUGGCUAAUAAAUUUAAAAAGCAAUUUUUGAGCAACAAUUAGUGGUUGGCCAAACUUUUUAAAAGUACUUUUUAAGUUUUCUCAAAAGUGCUUUUAGGGAAAAGCUACUUUUUUAGCUUAUGAAAAAACUGUUUUUUUCAAACUCCCCAAAAGCACUUAUUUUCUUUCAAAAGCUUGGCCAAACACCUCAUUUUUUUAAAAAAUAAGAGCACUUUUUAGAAAAAAUAAGCACUUCUGAAGAAAAAUAAGCUUGGCCAAACAGGCUAUUAAUCAUCACAGCCUCUCAUCCAUAACGACGACAGCAACAUACCCAAUGAAAUCCCACAAGUGGUGUAUGGGAAGGGAAGGGAGUACGCAGACCUCACCACUACCUCGUGGAGGGAGAGAGGCUGUUUCUAAAACACUCGGCUCAGGUGCAACAAAUCCACAUAAAAGAAGAAGAAAACAAUGUAUAAUAUAUAUAGAUAUGUAUGUGUAUAUGUAUCAUACUGCAGAAACUUCUGAUUACAAGGCUCAGAUUUAGAUAAUCAGAGCAAAUGAGACAAUGCAAACGGCCUGGCUACAGAUCUCGGUUGCACUACUAAUCGCACCUUCCGGGUCGCCCCCACCAAGAUACGGACCCAGCUCCCUUACCCCGUGAGCUUUAAGACACGUCAAUCAUCACAGCCUCUCGUCCGUAAUACCAACAACAACAAACAACACCAAUAAUAACAAUAACAACAACUUCCAUGCCAGCAAAAACCCUUUUCAAGGAUGACGACGACAAUGAAGAAACAGUAAAGGGGUAAAUCGGUAUAAUCAGGACAAAGGAAACAAUGCAUCCGCCAUGGCUGCGGACCUCUUGUAUUACAAAUAGUACCUUCCAGGUCGCCCACGAAGAUACGGAAGCAGCUCCCUUACCCCAUGAAUUCUAGAUACCUUAAAUCAUCACAGCCUCUCAUCCGUAACAGCAACAACAACAAUAUCAACAACAUCAACGAGAAUUCAACGCCGAGCAUAUAUGAGGAGGAGGAGGAGGAACAGCGGAAAGGUCAAACCUUAGGCCCUAAACCCUUCAAUCCAGUAUGCAUGUUAAUUAAUAUAUAUAUAUAUACACACACACAAACAUAUAGAUCUGUAUACAUACUGCAGAAACUUCCAAUUUUAAGGUUCAGAUUUAUAUAAUCAGAGCAAAGGAUACGAUGCAUCUUCCAUGGCUGCAUCAUUCCGGGUCGCCCCGCCAAGAUACGGACCCAGCUUCCUUACCCCAUGAACUCUAGACAGCUUAAUCAUCCAAGCUAUCAUUCGUAACAGCAACAACAUCAACAUCAACAACCACAAUAUCAACCACGGCAAAAACCCUUCUACAAGGAUUUCAACAUCGACCAUAGAUGAGGAGGAGGAAGAAAAAGUAACAGCAAAAGGGUUUAAUCUUAAACCUUUCAUUUAUGUGUAUAUAUAAAAAAGAUUGAUGGAAGAUGAAUGUGAGUAUGUACACAUACUGCAGAAACUUCCUAUUUAAGGCUCAGAUAUUAUAAGCAGAGCAAAAAGGAAGAAACACAUCCGCCAUGGCUGCAGACCUUACUGGGUCGCCCUGACAAGAAUACGGAGUAAGCUCCAAAUACCCGACCCAACUCUAGACGGACUUCAUUAGUCAUCAUCACAGCCUCAAAGAUAAAAAGGAAGAGGUGAAGAAGCAGUAAUAUAUAUAUAUAUAUAUAUAUAUAAAUAUAAUCAGGCAAAGGAGAUAAUGCAUCAAACAUGUCUGCAGAACCUCAGUUGCUCUACAAAUAAGGCCUUCCGGCCGCCCCGCCAAGCUACGGGCAUAGCUCCGUUACUCCCUGAAUUCUAGACACCUCAAUCAUCACAGCCUCACAUUGUAACACCACCANN
rnacentral:lncRNA from 1 species